rnacentral:tRNA from 1 species
GUGCCCGUAGCUCAAUUGGAUAGAGCGUCUGACUACGGAUCAGAAGGCUGGGGGUUCGAGUCCUCCCGGGCACG